rfam:Sphaeroforma arctica JP610 cont1.11738, whole genome shotgun sequence.
GAGCCCACUUCGGUGGUGUCUCAUAAACUAAAAUGAAAAAUAUACAGAGAAGAUUACCAUGGCCCCUGCACAAGGAUGACACGCAAAGACGCAAAGCGACACAAUUUUUG